GACAGAGGUGCCGAGCGUUAGGCGGAAUCACUGGGCUUAAAGCGUGUGUAGGCGGACCGUUAAGUACCUUGUGAAAUCCCCCGGCUCAACCGGGGAACGGCUGGGUAUACUGGCGGUCUUGAGCCAUCCAGGGGCAGUCGGAACAGACGGUGGAGCGGUGAAAUGCGCAGAUAUCAGGAAGAACACCCGUGGCUAAGGCGGCUCUCUAGUACGGUACUGACGCUGAGACGCGAAAGCGUGGGGAGCGAACAGG
rnacentral:rRNA from 1 species